rnacentral:ncRNA from 1 species
AUUAAACCUAUGAAGAGGCUAGUAUUAAAGUAUUCAGAUUUUAGAGAGUCAGUGGAAGGUGAAAACUGGCACUGAUAUUUUAAGAAUCCACCUCAGAGGGACUGUGAUGAGCAGUACGGUAAUAUCGUUAAAUUUUUAAGAGGAUUAUUUUAAUUAGUAAUCAAUUAGGGUGGCAACGCGGAGCUUUUCGUCCCUUUU